UCGGCCUUGUGACGUCAUCCGUGGUUGCCGCAGGCUUGGACUGUAAGCUGGUUUCCUCGUCUGCUGUGUGUUGGCUGCCCACGCCACACAGCAUGUCAUUGAUAGCAUGGUGUUCCUGACUGAGUUGCUUUACUGCAAGAUGGUGCGCGACUGCAGAGCGGUUUGCGCGGCGGGAUCGUUCUGCGGACUUCCCUGCAUAACUGAGAGCCUCUUGGGCUAGUCGCGAGAGCGUACCAAUGAUGAACUGUGAUCGUGUAUAAUUGCGACUGCGUCGCUGUUUUGCCUCGACGUUUAUCCCCAUAGCAACCG